rnacentral:rRNA from 1 species
GGGCAUGGCGGCAGCCUACCAUGCAAGUCGAACGGUAGCACAGAGAGCUUGCUCUCGGGUGACGAGUGGCGGACGGGUGAGUAAUGUCUGGGAAACUGCCUGAUGGAGGGGGAUAACUACUGGAAACGGUAGCUAAUACCGCAUAACGUCGCAAGACCAAAGAGGGGGACCUUCGGGCCUCUUGCCAUCAGAUGUGCCCAGAUGGGAUUAGCUAGUAGGUGGGGUAACGGCUCACCUAGGCGACGAUCCCUAGCUGGUCUGAGAGGAUGACCAGCCACACUGGAACUGAGACACGGUCCAGACUCCUACGGGAGGCAGCAGUGGGGAAUAUUGCACAAUGGGCGCAAGCCUGAUGCAGCCAUGCCGCGUGUAUGAAGAAGGCCUUCGGGUUGUAAAGUA